rnacentral:rRNA from 1 species
GGACUUUUGUCGCUGACGAGUGGCGCACGGGUGAGUAACGCGUGGGUUACCUGCCCCUAAGUGGGGAACAACUUGGAGAAAUCCAAGCUAAUACCGCAUAAUACCUUCGGGUUAAAGAGGGGGAUCUUCGGACCUCUCGCUUAUGGAUGGUCCCGCGUCUGAUUACCUAGUUGGUACGGUAAUGGCCUACCAAGGCAAUGAUCAAUAGCUGGUCUGAGAGGAUGAUCAGUCACUCUGGAACUGAGACACUGUCCAGACUCCUACGGGAGGCAGCAGUGGGGAAUUUUGCACAAUGGGCGAAAGCCUGAUGCAGCGACGCCGCGUGCGGGAAGAAGGCCUUCGGGUUGUAAACCGCUUUCAACAGGGAAGAAGGAAUGAGAGCUAAUACCUCUCUGCCUUGACGGUACCUGUACAAGAAGCACCGGCUAAUUUCCUGCCAGCAGCCGCGGUAAUACGAAAGGUGCAAGCGUUGUUCGGAUUUACUGGGCGUAAAGAGAUCGUAGGUGGCUUGUUAAGUCGGAUGUGAAAUCCCGGGGCUCAACCCCGGAACUGCAUCCGAUACUGGCAGGCUUGAGUUUGGGAGGGGUAAGCGGAAUUCCGUGUGUAGCAGUGAAAUGCGUAUAUAUACGGAGGAACACCUGACGCGAAUGCGGCCUACUGGACCAAUACUGACACUGACGAUCGAAAGCGUGGGUAGCACACAGGAUUAGAUACCCUGGUAGUCCACGCCCUAAACGAUGUCAACUAGUCCGUUGCGGGUAUCGACACCUGCAGUGGCGCAGCUAAC